GACGAACGCUGGCGGCGUGCUUAACACAUGCAAGUCGAACGGAAAGGCCCUGCGUUUGUGGGGUGCUCGAGUGGCGAACGGGUGAGUAACACGUGAGUAACCUGCCCUUGACUUUGGGAUAACUUCAGGAAACUGGGGCGAAUACCGGAUAGGAUCUCCUGCUGCAUGGUGGGGGUUGGAAAGUUUCGGCGGUGGGGGAUGGACUCGCGGCUUAUCAGCUGGUUGGUGGGGUAGUGGCUUACCAAGGCUUUGACGGGUAGCCGGCACGAGAGGGUGACCGGCCACAUUGGGACUGAGAUACGGACCAGACUCCUACGGGAGGCAGCAGUGGGGAAUAUUGCACAAUGGGCGGACGCCUGAUGCAGCAACGCCGCGUGCGGGAUGACGGCCUUCGGGUUGUAAACCGCUUUCGCCUGUGACGAAGCGUGAGUGACGGUAAUGGGUAAAGAAGCACCGGCUAACUACGUG
rnacentral:rRNA from 1 species